rnacentral:rRNA from 1 species
CAUUAUUGAAUAAUCUUGAUGUAGUUGUAGCUGACCUCUUUACCGGGGUAUGUGCACGCUCAUCAUCUUUAUAUCUCCACCUGUGCACCUUUUGUAGACCUGGAAAAUUUUUUCCGAGGCAACUCGGUCGGUAGGAUCGCUGUGCUUUCACAAGUCGGCUUUCCUUGCAAUUAUCCAGGCCUAUGUUUUUCAUAUACCCCAAAGAAUGUAACAGAAUGUAUCAUUGGGUCUUGUACCUAUAAACUAUAUACAACUUUCAGCAACGGAUCUCUUGGCUCUCGCAUCGAUGAAGAACGCAGCGAAAUGCGAUAAGUAAUGUGAAUUGCAGAAUUCAGUGAAUCAUCGAAUCUUUGAACGCACCUUGCGCUCCUUGGUAUUCCGAGGAGCAUGCCUGUUUGAGUGUCAUUAAAUUAUCAACCUUACCAGCUUUUGCGAGCUUGUGUAAUGGCUUGGAUGUGAGGGUUUUGCUGGCUUCGUUAAGAGGUCAGCUCCCUUGAAAUGCAUUAGCCGGUGCCCCGCGUGGAUCGUCUAUUGGUGUGAUAAUUAUCUACGCCGUGGAUGUCUGCUUUAAUGGGUUUGCGCUGCUUCUAACUGUCUAUUAAGUUGGACAAUCAAUGACAAUUUGACCUCAAAUCAGGUAGGACUACCC